rnacentral:lncRNA from 1 species
ACUAAACUGGGUCUUACUCAUCUUUGUACCCCUGCACAGUAUCUAGGGCAUAGAAGAGGCUAAAUACAUACAGAUUAAAUGAGUAGAUGAGAGAAUAAUUUCUGGACACCAAAUGUCAAGAGGAAUAUAGAUGGCCUGUAUGGGGCAAAUAACUUACAGGAAAGGAUCAGGAGAUCUGGUCUUGUGGGAACAAUUAAUCCAGAGUCUUGUCCACCAGAGAAGAUGCAAAGCAGAACUUCACUAAACUGCACAAAGAUGGAGCAUCUGCACUGCUAUUUUUCACUGACAUUGCAUUGUGUUUCUCUACUGUUCCUUAAUUUGCCAA